UGGGGAAUAUUGCACAAUGGGCGCAAGCCUGAUGCAGCCAUGCCGCGUGUAUGAAGAAGGCCUUCGGGUUGUAAAGUACUUUCAGCGGGGAGGAAGGCGAUAAGGUUAAUAACCUUGUCGAUUGACGUUACCCGCAGAAGAAGCACCGGCUAACUCCGUGCCCGCAGCCGCGGUAAUACGGAGGGUGCAAGCGUUAAUCGGAAUUACUGGGCGUAAAGCGCACGCAGGCGGUCUGUCAAGUCGGAUGUGAAAUCCCCGGGCUCAACCUGGGAACUGCAUUCGAAACUGGCAGGCUAGAGUCUUGUAGAGGGGGGUAGAAUUCCAGGUGUAGCGGUGAAAUGCGUAGAGAUCUGGAGGAAUACCGGUGGCGAAGGCGGCCCCCUGGACAAAGACUGACGCUCAGGUGCGAAAGCGUGGGGAGCAAACA
rnacentral:rRNA from 1 species